rnacentral:rRNA from 1 species
UACGAAGGGGGCUAGCGUUGUUCGGAUUUACUGGGCGUAAAGCGCACGUAGGCGGAUUGGUCAGUUAGGGGUGAAAUCCCAGAGCUCAACUCUGGAACUGCCCUUAAUACUGCCAGUCUAGAGUCCGGAAGAGGUAAGUGGAACUCCUAGUGUAGAGGUGGAAUUCGUAGAUAUUAGGAAGAACACCAGUGGCGAAGGCGGCUUACUGGUCCGGUACUGACGCUGAGGUGCGAAAGCGUGGGGGGCAAACAGG